UUCAACAGAAUACCCUUGCUGUCUCCUUUUCUAUUGACUGGUUAUUGCUGCACCUGUGAAUCUUCAAAUUACCUUCACCUGAUUGGGCAACUAGUGUUUGGCUGUCACUUUUUCUGCCUGUUUGGGAACUCUGUUCUUUCCUGCCCUAUUCAGCCCUAGUGCAGAAAAAAGAUUGAACCGAGACAAGCUGAUCAUAAGGCCCUGGAAGAGAACCAAUGCUCUGGUGCUUCACUGAAGAUAUGCCUUUUCUGUAAGGAGCUGGACGCUAUCCUUGGCGGUGACCCCACCUCCACCAACAAGAGACCUCUGGAUACUUCAGAGGGCAUGGAGGCAGUGCACAGAAGACCUAGCCCGGAGGAUGAAACUGUAGAUGAGGUGAUUGUGGCUGAUGUGGACCAGGAGCUCUUCCCCGGAUAUAUCUGGCAGCCAGGAACUGUUCUCCACUGCUGACACACAUAGCCGGUCUGAGCAGUCACUUUCCGGGGAUCAAGAAGCAGAUGAUGAGAUGCGGGCCACCGCCAUCCCAUCACUACUUACGAUAAGUGAAGGUCAUGCCAAAGAUCCAUCUUGCCCAGUAUCCUGUCCUUUGACUUUGGCCAAUGCCAGAUGCACAAGAAC